rnacentral:other from 1 species
GCGGUGCUGCGGGGCGCGUGUGGUCAACAUAUCCCCGGGGCCUUAUCGAUCCUGUCGGGAGCUGUCCCUGGCCUUGCCCGUGGGCUUGGUCACAUGGCGCCCACCUACGUUGUAGGUUCCCGGGAUCGCUUGCCCACGGCCAUUGCGGCUCCGCA